GAUGAACGCUAGCGGCAGGCCUAACACAUGCAAGUCGAGGGGUAGAAGGAGCUUGCUCCUUUGAGACCGGCGCACGGGUGCGUAACGCGUAUGCAAUCUACCUUGUACAGGGGAAUAGCCCAGAGAAAUUUGGAUUAAUGCCCCAUAGUAUAUAACCUUCGCAUGUUGGUUAUAUUAAAGUUCCAACGGUACAAGAUGAGCAUGCGUCCCAUUAGUUAGUUGGUAAGGUAACGGCUUACCAAGACGAUGAUGGGUAGGGGUCCUGAGAGGGAGAUCCCCCACACUGGUACUGAGACACGGACCAGACUCCUACGGGAGGCAGCAGUGAGGAAUAUUGGUCAAUGGUCGCAAGACUGAACCAGCCAUGCCGCGUGCAGGAAGACGGUCCUAUGGAUGGUAAACUGCUUUUAUACAGGAAGAAACCCUCCCACGUGUGGGAGCUUGACGGUACUGUAGGAAUAAGGAUCGGCUAACUCCGUG
rnacentral:rRNA from 1 species